UACAGAGGUCUCAACCGUUGUUCGGAUUCAUUGGGCGUAAAGGGUGCGUAGGCGGCGGGGCAAGUCAGGUGUGAAAUCUCGGGGCUCAACCCCGAAACUGCACUUGAUACUGCCUUGCUCGAGUACUGGAGAGGAGACUGGAAUUUACGGUGUAGCAGUGAAAUGCGUAGAUAUUGGGAAGAACACCGGUGGCGAAGGCGGCUCUCUGGACCGAGACUGACGCUGAGGCGCAAAAGCGUGGGGAGCAAACAGG
rnacentral:rRNA from 1 species